AAGUCGUAACAAGGUUUCCGUAGGUGAACCUGCGGAAGGAUCAUUACUAUUGCUGAAGGCACUCCCUAGGCCUGGCCUGUGGGUUUUGUCCUGGCAACCAACCCUUGACCUUGUCUACCCUUUGUCCAUCCCUUGGCGGGCUUUGUCCGCCAUGGGUUCUACUUAACUCUCUGUAUGGUAGCCUUUAAACCUUCUGAAGACCAAUAAAAUUAUUACAACUUUCAACAAUGGAUCUCUUGGCUCUGGCACCGAUGAAGAACGCAGCGAAAUGCGAUAAGUAGUGUGAAUUGCAGACUUUAGUGAAUCAUCGAAUCUUUGAACGCACAUUGCGCCUUUUGGAAUUCCAUUAGGCAUGCCUGUUCGAGCGUCAUAUACUCUCUCAAGCGCUUGCUUGGUGUUGGGCAAUUGUCCUGCACACAGCUAGGACUUGCCUUAAAGGUAUGGCAGUCAGCUUGCCCGCUUCUUACGCAGCACUUGCGUCUCCUGAGGCAGGGUAUGCUGGCGUUCCAGCUAGACAACCGCUUUGUGAGACCUCGAAUCAGGUAGGAAUACCCGCUGAACUUAAGCAUAUCAAUAAGCGGAGGAAAAGAAACCAACUGGGAUUGCCCUAGUAACGGCGAGUGAAGCGGCAAUAGCUCAAAUUUGAAAUCUGGGCCUCUCUAUGAAGCCCGAGUUGUAAUUUGCAGAGGGUGCUUUGGCAUUGGCAGCGGUCUAAGUUCCUUGGAACAGGACAUCAUAGAGGGUGAGAAUCCCGUAUGGGAUCGCCUGCCUUUGACGUGUAAAGCCCCUUCAACGAGUCGAGUUGUUUGGGAAUGCAGCUCUAAAUGGGAGGUAAAUUUCUUCUAAAGCUAAAUACCGGCCAGAGACCGAUAGCGCACAAGUAGAGUGAUCGAAAGAUGAAAAGCACUUUGGAAAGAGAGUCAAAUAGCACGUGAAAUUGUUGAAAGGGAAGCGCUUGCAGCCAGACUUGUCCACAGUUGUGUACUUCUAUGGGCAGGCCAGCAUCAGUUUAGGCGGUUGGAAAAGGGCCUCUGUCAUGUAUCAUCCCUCAACCAGAUGACCUUAUAGGGGAGGUGUAGUACAACCAGCCAAGACUGAGGUCCACGCAUCUGCUAGGAUGCUGGCGUAAUGGCUGUUAGCGGCC
rnacentral:rRNA from 1 species